rnacentral:tRNA from 1 species
GCCACCGUUGCCUAAUGGAUAAGGCAUCGGCCUUCUAAGCCGGGGAUUACGGGUUCGAUCCCCGCCGGUGGUA